rnacentral:rRNA from 1 species
AGCGAACGCUGGCGGUAGGCCUAACACAUGCAAGUCGAACGGCAGCACAGUAAGAGCUUGCUCUUACGGGUGGCGAGUGGCGGACGGGUGAGGAAUACAUCGGACUCUACUUUUUCGUGGGGGUUAACGUAGGGAAACCUACGCUCAUACCGCAUCCGCCCUACGGGGGAAAGCAGGGGAUCUUCGGACCUUGCGCGAUUGAAUGAGCCGCUGUUGGAUUGGCUAGUUGGCGGGCUAAAGGCCAACCAGGGCGGCGAUCCGUAGCUGGUCGGGGAGGCUGGUCGGCGACCCUGGAACUUGGACACGGACCAGACUCCUACGGGAGGGAGCAGUGGGGAAUAUUGGACAGUGGUCGCAAGCCUGAUCCAGCCAUAGCGCGUGGGUGAAGGAGGCCUUCGGGUUGUAAAGACGUUUUGUUGGGAAAGAAAAGCAGCAGGUUAAUACCCCGCUGUUCUGACGGUACCCAAAGAAUAAGCACCGGCUAACUUCGUG